UCUCCUGGAAACGGGUGGUAAUGCCGGAUGCUCCAGUUGAUCGCAUGGUCUUCUGGGAAAGCUUUCGCGGUAUGGGAUGGGGUCGCGUCCUAUCAGCUUGACGGCGGGGUAACGGCCCACCGUGGCUUCGACGGGUAGCCGGCCUGAGAGGGCGACCGGCCACAUUGGGACUGAGAUACGGCCCAGACUCCUACGGGAGGCAGCAGUGGGGAAUAUUGCACAAUGGGCGCAAGCCUGAUGCAGCGACGCCGCGUGAGGGAUGGAGGCCUUCGGGUUGUAAACCUCUUUUAUCGGGGAGCAAGCGAGAGUGAGUUUACCCGUUGAAUAAGCACCGGCUAACUACGUGCCAGCAGCCGCGGUAAUACGUAGGGUGCAAGCGUUAUCCGGAAUUAUUGGGCGUAAAGGGCUCGUAGGCGGUUCGUCGCGUCCGGUGUGAAAGUCCAUCGCUUAACGGUGGAUCCGCGCCGGGUACGGGCGGGCUUGAGUGCGGUAGGGGAGACUGGAAUUCCCGGUGUAACGGUGGAAUGUGUAGAUAUCGGGAAGAACACCACAC
rnacentral:rRNA from 1 species